rnacentral:rRNA from 1 species
UACAACUUUUGACAACGGAUCUCUUGGUUCUCCCAUCGAUGAAGAACGCAGCGAAAUGCGAUAAGUAAUGUGAAUUGCAGAAUUCAGUGAAUCAUCGAAUCUUUGAACGCACCUUGCGCCCUUGGGUAUUCUCAAGGGCAUGCCUGUUUGAGUGUCAUAACA